AGCGAACGCUGGCGGCAGGCCUAACACAUGCAAGUCGAACGAACUCUUCGGAGUUAGUGGCGGACGGGUGAGUAACACGUGGGAACGUGCCUUUUGGUUCGGAAUAACUCAGGGAAACUUGUGCUAAUACCGAAUGUGCCCUUCGGGGGAAAGAUUUAUCGCCAUUAGAGCGGCCCGCGUCUGAUUAGCUAGUUGGUGAGGUAACGGCUCACCAAGGCGACGAUCAGUAGCUGGUCUGAGAGGAUGACCAGCCACACUGGGACUGAGACACGGCCCAGACCCCUACGGGGGGCAGGAGGGGGGAAUCUUGCGAAAGGGGCGAAAGCCUGACGCAGCCAGGCCGGGUGAAUGAUGAAGGUCUUAGGAUUGUAAAAUUUUUUCCCCGGGGAAGAAAAUGACGGUACCCGGAGAAGAAGCCCCGGCUAACUUCGU
rnacentral:rRNA from 1 species